CUCCCUCCCUGACUCUUCUCUCUCCCUGACUCUCCGAUAGCGAUUACUCUGAAUCCCACCGCCUCCGAAUCCCGCCGCCUCCGCCUCUACCUCUAAAUCUGUCUCUCUCUCUCUCUUCCCCUCCCCCCCGCUCUACCGCUGAUUCACUACGAGAAACCCUAAAUUCACAAGUUCACGCCGCCUGCGCCUCUACACCGUGAGUCAGCGAUUAACCCUCACUUCGACGGCGAUUAAUCCUCACUUCGAUGAUGAUUAAGACUCACUUCGACGGCGAACUGAAACAACGUUUCCGAUGGAAAACUCGAUUUCGAACGGCGUGCAAGAUAAAUUAAAAUGGCACGAAAAAGAACAAGAUCAGAGGCAGAAGAGGAAGAGUCUAGAAGGGAUAUACGUGAAGCUGAAACCAGAACUUAUCAUCAGAAUAUGAAUGAGGAAGAAGUGGAAGGUGAAACAAGCAAUAGAAUGAAUAUCGAUGAAGAACUAAGAGGACCAGGAGGUGAAGUUCUGGUAAAGCUAAACAAGGGGGUAAAAAAUGUCUUGCUGUUCAGAUUAAAGGCCCUGCAACAAGAAUAGGCCCUUGGCUGUGUGUUGAGAAUUGCCUUACAUCAGUUCGAGGAGGUAAAAAAGAGAUGACCGAUAGAUGUUGAGAAGAUGGUUGCGGAGUACAAGAAACCAUGAACAAUAAAUUAACUCUUGGCUUUUCUGAACAUGAAUGAAAUCUUGGCUGUGUGAAUGAACUUAGUACUGAAACAUGUAAUUUUGCAGUUUUAAUUUGAUUUGACUUUUUUUGCGUA